GGGCGGUUGGACAUAGUGACUGGGGUGUGGGACUGCUGAUCACCGACCCCCGGAAGGGGGCGCAGAUGGACUAAGGGGCACUGCCGGAGGGCAGUGGCCUCGAAGAGGAUGCCGCCGAGCACUCAGCUACGCGGGUCCAAAGACAACAACAGAGGACAGAACGACGGACGGGACACCACCAGGAGGAGGUGCUCCACUGGAACAGAGCUAAUUCCCAGAGUCACCAGCAGGAGACACCAGGUGGACUAAGCUGGCAGCAAGGGAAAACAAACAACAAAAAAAGCCGUGAAGAGGGGAAUGAAUAGCUAAAUUUCUACUGAAUAACAUGAAGUGUUUUCUGUUCCAUAAAGCCUGACUCUACAGAUGAGAUAUAUGGGCAGAAUUAAUGACCCAUUACUAUGCAGGAAGAGCAUGCAGUCUGGUGUUAAAUACUUUCAUGAUCUACUAACUGGAAGAUUAGUAAGAAGAUAAGAAUUCAGGAAGCUCCAGACCCGUUCUGAAACACUCAUCCUUGUUGCUGUCAUCAAUAUCUUCCUCUUACUAUGAACAGUCUGCUUAAGAGACAGCCAUGAAGUUAAAAUAGCUUAUGUCUGGGACCAAGAAGAGUGAGAAUCUGACAUUCCAGGAAAUACGCUCUUGUGUACAAAAUCGACUCUGAGGCUGCCAAACCUAAAGUCAGAGAAAAGAGAAAAUCUGAAAUAUGAGUAUGAAGCUUUCAUAUUGUCCAACAAAGAAACCCACUGAACAAGACAUUCUGCUUCUCCCUCAGUAUGGUUCAUGAUGACCAGGAGAAGAUUUGUGUUGAUACAAAAUGGGGGAGAAAUAAAUCUUCUCCAAAUCACAUUCAGAAGAGACGAUUUCACGCAGAGUCAUUUGAAGAAAUGGGAGCAAACUGACACAAGAAUAGUUCAUUUGUUCUUUGCCAGCUCAGCCACUGAGAAGGGAAAA